rnacentral:snRNA from 1 species
AUACCUUUCUCGGCCUUUUGGCUAAGAUCAAGUGUAGUAUCUGUUUUUAUCAGUUUAAUAUCUCAAGUGUAGUAUCUGUUCUUAUCAGUUUAAUAUCUGAUAUGUGGGCCAUGUGUCAUCCAUGUCCAUCUCCA